rnacentral:lncRNA from 1 species
CCAAACAAACCCGGGAGCUCCGGGCCCAAGCCGACUUUUGCACCUCCCGGAGGAGCACGCCCUCCGGCCCCGGGCCCCGGCUCGUCGGUAGCCUCCCGGGACCACGGGGACGGCUCCACCCCAGGGCAGCCGCGUCCAGCUGGCCCUGGGCCUUGACGGGUGCUGCGGGGAAAAGGUUCUUGAGAGAUGCUGCGGCCCGGUAGAGAGAUUUAGCUCCACUUUUCACAGCUGGAGGCUUUUGUUAUUAGAGAUGCGGCUCCAUUUUUAAAACUAAUUGUUGCCACAGAUAGGCGACUACAUCUCUGGAAGCAGCAGCUCCAUGCUGGAUGUGGUGGAAGAAUCGAGAGGGAAUGGACUGGAAGUUUGGAAUCACCGGAAAAUAACAAGGCAUAGCUAAGCUGUGACUAGCAAGAUAAACGAUUUGUUCGAGGUU